AGUACUUUUAGUAUCGAUGAACAAUAUUGUUUGUAUCAUUCGUUUUUCUCUCAUCCAUGAGAGAAGUAUGUACAUUUUUAACGUGGCAACGCGUCAUGGAAGUUCACAAUGUCUUUUUAGCGUACGUAUCAAGAUCAAGAACUUAUCGUCAAUGUUCAUAACAUUUCUGGAGAGAGGAAAUCGACAUGAUCACGGUGAGUGCAUAUGAAGAUCUUUUCUACCGUUAUUACAAGGGCACUGAUGGGGUGUUAGAUCCUGAAGUAUUUAGUGUAUUAGUUGAAUUGCUUGAACUAACUGAUCGAAGCCACCGCCCUUGAACAAGAACGAAGAGCAUCGACUGAAAUGGUUACUGCCAGAGUGGAGAUCUUGGGAAGAGUAUAGAAAAGAUGUUAACGGCAUCAAAGCUGAUCAAAAAAAAUUUGCACACAAUAAUCAUAGUUUAGAGUCAUCUCGACGUAAGGUCGUCCUUUCUUCAUAUUUCUGUCCGAUAUGGAAUUGCCGACAUUGUACAUUACAGUAACACUUCAAAUGAUUGUUGAAAAAGAAUUGUCUAUCAAUUUACGUAUCACCGUGUGUCAAUGAUAGAGAUUCCUCUUUGCACA